rnacentral:RNase_P_RNA from 1 species
UGCAAUCGCGUAAUAAGACGCCGAAAGGUAUUAUUAUGAGGAAAGUCCGGGCUUCACAGGGCAGGAUAACGGAUAACGUCCGCCGGAGGCGACUCCCGGGAAAGUGCAACAGAGAGAUACCGCCCGCUUUUUGCGGGUAAGGGUGGAAAGGCGAGGUAAGAGCUCACCGGUCCUCCGGGUAACCGGGGGAUCCUGUAAACCCUAUCCGAAGCAACACCGUAUGCGGAAAGGAGCGCUCGCGCUCCGCGCCGGCCCGGCGUUUUUCCGCGGGUGGCAGGAGAUUUUUUCUCCGAGCGGCACGGUAACGCGCCGCACAGACAGAUGAUUGCAGUUUCGCUUUGCGAUCCACAGAACCCGGCUUACAAGCUCGGU